rnacentral:lncRNA from 12 species
AGGAGAAUGCUUGGCUGACCACUGAGAAGUACGUACAUUCGAAUCUGUUUCCCUCGAGCAAUGCAUUCAGGUGAAGAAAGAAGCUCCUCCGAGGCAUGUCAUUCCAUCUGAUCACCUGUGCUGCCUUGAAGUGUGAGCUGAAGUCUACGGUGCGCUUCGAAUCUAGUGGCUCGUGCUUACUCAGCUGAAAUGUGUUCACACCCGGAGUGCCAACAACAACAA